ACACACACACACACACACACACACACACACACACGACCAGUGAGGACUGAGCAUGCUUGGUGAUCACAGCGUGUGAAGGGGUGUGUGUGUGUGUGUGUGUGUGUGUGUGUGUGU